rnacentral:rRNA from 1 species
UGUCGAAACCUGCCUAGCAGAACGACCCGCGAACUCGUAUUCAAAACUCGGGUGGCGCAUGCUUGUGCUUCGGUACUCGCCUGUUGCCCCCUUUGCUGGUGGUGCAUCCAUGGCYUCGGCGAUGCUUGCGCUUCCCGGCACCUAAACGAACCCCGGCGCGGUAUGCGCCAAGGAAUUGUAACAUAGACAGCUUGUCCGGAAGCCCCGUUCGCGGGUGCGGAAGGGCAUUGCCAUCUUACACAAAACUAAACGACUCUCGGCAACGGAUAUCUCGGCUCUCGCAUCGAUGAAGAACGUAGCGAAAUGCGAUACUUGGUGUGAAUUGCAGAAUCCCGUGAACCAUCGAGUUUUUGAACGCAAGUUGCGCCCGAAGCCAUUAGGCYGAGGGCACGUCUGCCUGGGCGUCUCACAUCGCGUCGCCCCCAUCCCUUUCCCUUUGGGAAUCACGGGCUUGGGAGCGGAGACUGGUCUCCCGUGCACUUGUUGUGCGGUUGGCCUAAAUAAGAGUCGACGUGUGCGUGCGUCACAACAAUUGGUGGUUGUUAAAAACCUUUGCUGUUGUGCGUUGUCGUCCUCGUCCGACUCCAUUGACCCUGUUGCAUUGCGUAAGUGAUGCCUCGACCGCGACCCCA